ACGUAGGGUGCGAGCGUUGUCCGGAAUUAUUGGGCGUAAAGGGCUCGUAGGCGGUUUGUCGCGUCGGGAGUGAAAACACCGGGCUUAACUCGGUGCUUGCUUUCGAUACGGGCAGACUAGAGGUAUGCAGGGGAGAACGGAAUUCCUGGUGUAGCGGUGAAAUGCGCAGAUAUCAGGAGGAACACCGGUGGCGAAGGCGGUUCUCUGGGCAUUACCUGACGCUGAGGAGCGAAAGUGUGGGGAGCGAACAGGAUUAGAUACCCUGGUAGUCCACACCGUAAACGUUGGGCGCUAGGUGUGGGGCCUAUUCCAUGGGUUCCGUGCCGCAGCUAACGCAUUAAGCGCCCCGCCUGGGGAGUACGGCCGCAAGGCUA
rnacentral:rRNA from 1 species